rnacentral:rRNA from 1 species
UACGAGGGGGGCGGGCGUUGUUCGGAAUUAUUGGGCGUAAAGGGCGCGUAGGCGGUGCGGUAAGUCACCUGUGAAACCUCUGGGCUCAACUCAGAGCCUGCAGGCGAAACUGCCGUGCUGGAGUGUGGGAGAGGUGCGUGGAAUUCCGAGUGUAGAGGUGAAAUUCGUAGAUAUUCGGAAGAACACCAGUGGCGAAGGCGACUUACUGGACACAUAUUGACGCUGAGGUGCGAAAGCGUGGGGAGCAAACAGG